UGGGGAAUUUUGGACAAUGGGGGCAACCCUGAUCCAGCAAUGUCGCGUGAGUGAAGAAGGCCUUCGGGUUGUAAAGCUCUUUUGUCAGGGAAGAAACGGUGAGGGCUAAUAUCCUUUGCUAAUGACGGUACCUGAAGAAUAAGCACCGGCUAACUACGUUCCAGCAGCCGCGGUAAUACGUAGGGUGCAAGCGUUAAUCGGAAUUACUGGGCGUAAAGCGUGCGCAGGCGGUUAUGUAAGUCAGAUGUGAAAUCCCCGGGCUCAACCUGGGAAUGGCAUUUGAGACUGCAUGGCUAGAGUGUGUCAGAGGGGGGUAGAAUUCCACGUGUAGCAGUGAAAUGCGUAGAGAUGUGGAGGAAUACCGAUGGCGAAGGCAGCCCCCUGGGAUAACACUGACGCUCAUGCACGAAAGCGUGGGGAGCAAACAGG
rnacentral:rRNA from 1 species